GUGCUCAUUUCGGCAGCACAGAUACUAAAAUCGGAACGAUACACAGAUUAGCAUGGCCCCUGUGCAAUGAUAAUAUCCAGGUUCGUGAAGCAUUCCAUAUUUAA
ensembl:snRNA U6 U6 spliceosomal RNA